GGAAAUUAAAGGAUAAUAAUAUAGAUAACCUUGGCUACUUUUCAUCAUGAUUAUAAAAUGAUGAAUCGGCGGUCGUGGUCUCUAUGGAAUACAUAUCUUUAAAAAUGCUAACAGUAACAUAUUCUCAAGUAAUUCACAUUGUACAUGACAUACGGCAGUAUUUUGACCACAAACCAUUAACACAACCACGCGGACGAAGUCGCGGGCAAAAACUAGAUGUUUUCAAUAUUUGUACAUGUCAAAUAUUUGUUGUCCAUCCUGUCAAAUACUGUAAAUAAUGAUUGACAUUUAUGCAUAAACUAUUUGAAAAGGGUGAAUAAACAAUUGUCUGUAUUUUUUUAAAUCUAUUGAAAAUGUUAAAAAAAAUGCAUUAAGCAUUAAUAGAAAUUCGUCAAAAAUUUAUUUUGUGUAAAUUAAAGUUUCUAUUUACGUUUUCGAACAAACGAUGCUCUUUCAAUAUAAUCUAUUGGUGUGAAUGACAUUGACAUUCGUAUUGCGCGUUUUUUUAAAUAAUAUGCAAAAUUAAAUGUAUAUUUUUCAAUAUUUCUGAGAGAUUUUCUUAAUAUUUUUUCGAGUUUUAAAGACUAAGAAGAUUUUUUUUUUUUGCUAAUAAGUGUUUAUUAAUCAAGUUGGAAUUUCGUUUUUAACAAUGCUACCAACCAGACGUACAAGCUUAGGCCGCAGAACUCGAAAUACGGCAAGUCAAAGAAAUAUAAGAGCAAAUCAAACUGAUGAGCAACGCUAAGCGCGAAAUGAACUUGAACUGAAUCGAUAUCAAAAAAAUAGAAAUGUUGUGUUUAAUCCCCACAGAGCUGCAUUCAAUUAUAAUAUUGUAUUUCUUUUUUCUUUGUUGUAAAUUUUCAACAUUUUAACUGUAUAAUGUAUUGGCUUUUUUUUUUUAGGGUGGAAAAUCAUCCAAUGACUUCUCCCGCCUUGGGCGAGGCGAGAGGGAGUGUCAGACUCUUACUGACUAAAAACCACCCCGUUCCUAUUCCUGCCCGUCGAGCCGGAGCCCCGGUAAACCCGCUAGGUAGUCCGCAGCUCCGGAUUAGGUAUCAGCCCUACUGGGCCCCAUCUGUGGUGGUCUGAUGGCUCUUUGAGGCGCGCGCAGAACGCGACGCGCCG